UACGAAGGGGGCUAGCGUUGUUCGGAAUUACUGGGCGUAAAGCGCGCGCAGGCGGUUCUCCAAGUCAGUGGCGAAAGCCCGGAGCUCAACUCCGGAAUUGCCAUUGAAACUGUUGAACUCGAGGACGAGAGAGGUGAGUGGAAUUCCCAGUGUAGAGGUGAAAUUCGUAGAUAUUGGGAAGAACACCGGUGGCGAAGGCGGCUCACUGGCUCGUUUCUGACGCUCAGGCGCGACAGCGUGGGGAUCAAACAGG
rnacentral:rRNA from 1 species